rnacentral:rRNA from 1 species
AACAAACGCUGGCGGCGUGCCUAACACAUGCAAGUCGUACGAGAAAGGGUCCUUCGGGACCUGAGUAAAGUGGCGCACGGGUGAGUAACGCGUGGAUAAUCUGCCCUUCAGUUGGGAACAACUCAUCGAAAGGUGGGCUAAUACCGAAUAACACUGUGAGACUUUGGUCGAGCAGUCAAAGAGAGCCUCUGCUUGCAAGCCCUCGCUGAAGGAUGAGUCCGCGUACCAUUAGCUAGUUGGCAGGGUAAUGGCCUACCAAGGCGACGAUGGUUAGCUGGUCUGAGAGGAUGAUCAGCCACACUGGAACUGAGAUACGGUCCAGACUCCUACGGGAGGCAGCAGUGAGGAAUCUUGCGCAAUGGGGGAAACCCUGACGCAGCAACGCCGCGUGAGUGAGGAAGGUCUUCGGAUCGUAAAGCUCUGUCAGUUGGGAAGAAAUGCCUGAGGGUUAAUACCCUUCAGGCUUGACGGUACCAACAGAGGAAGCACCGGCUAACUCCGUGCCAGCAGCCGCCGUAA